UUUUAUCUGAAAUUAUUGAUAAUAAAAUCUGCUCAAUGAAUUAUUCAAUAGCCGCAUUAGUGCUAAGGUAGCAUAAUCAUUUGUCUUUUAAUUGAAGACUGAACGAAAGAUUUAACAUUUAAUGUUAUUAUUAAAUUUAUUAAUUUAAAUUAUUUUUAAUAUAAAAAAAUAUUAAUUAAUUAAAUAGACGAUAAGACCCUAUUGAACUUUACUUUAGUUUAACUGGGGAAGUUAUUUAAUUAUUAUUUUAAAAUAAUUAUACAUUAAAUUCUUGACCUAAUAUAAUUAAUUAUAUGAUUAAGUUACCAUAGGGAUAACAGUGUUAUAUUAUUUUAAAGAUCUAAUUUAAAAUAAUDAUUGCAACCUCGAUGUUGAUUAAUAUUUCUUAAUAACGCAAUAGUUAUUUAUGAAAGUCUGUUCGACUUUUAAAUUAUUACA
rnacentral:rRNA from 1 species